ensembl:lncRNA
AGAAUGCAAGGUGUCUGUUUUAACUAAGUAUUAGAUAGCUGCAGCAUUGAAUAAAAUAACAAUUUUCGUUGCGAUUAUUUUAGAACAUGUCAAUCAAAACAAUAAUACAGAUCAGAUUUUUUCACUUGAGAAUUGCGUAUACUGCCCGCUGAUGCGUAAUAAAAGUAGUGUGGUGGAGGUAUACACCGUAUCACUUAUGUAGUACAAUAAAGAAAUCAUGUUCAAAGCAGCCUACACAAACGCAAAGCACGUGAGUUCCAUUCAUGUAAAACCUCACACAGCCUAAUUUCAGCGGAAUAUCGCCCGACAACAAGUGGAGAGCAGCAAGUGCGAGCAGCUCUCCACUUGUUGUCGGAUAGAGAGCAGCUCACAGAAGAACGACAUCCGUAGCAGACAAUGUUGAGCUGGUGUUGGAUUCAUCAGCCAUUCCUGAAUCAGGCACUGCCAAAGUGAGGUCCAGACCCGCAGUCAAGCACUACAUGUCCUCCUCUGAUGUUGUGCAAGGGUUUGCUGUCCCAACACCCAAAGUUCCUGUCCUCCCCCCUUUCAACAGUCCAAAGAUCAACAGGGCAGUAAAUGCCGAUCGGUUUUCCAAUGGAUCGGCUAUAUCUGUGCCCGAUUUGGUGGAUGGGGAGAUAUUUAUUCCACCUCCCCCUACAAUGGCACCCCCACCCCCCCCACCCAUGUUCAUCCCUCCCCCACCAGAUUUCUUGGGUGACUUGGACUCCCUUCAGCCUCCCUCCAUGCCCCCUCCAAAACCUCCAUCAGUGCUUCUGUCUAAAGAGUACGAGGAUUUCACCUCCCUGAAACCUCCACUAAUGCGCCCCCCGAAGCCCCCGUCAACUUCCUCCAGUGCUUCUAGUUCAUCUUUGUCCAUUUCUAUACCAACACCAGUCCCUGAUUUUACUGAGCCCCCAAAGUUUGCCCCUCCACAGCCCCCUAUAGACAUGAGACAAGCUGCUCUGAAAGCCCUGAAGACCCCGCCUCCAAAGCCAACAAGGCUGUCCUCCAUCCACAGCAUGGACGAAGCCUCCCAGGUUCCAGCCCAAGCUUCCCCAGUACAGACCCCAACACCCUCCAGCUUCAACCCCCAGAACACAGCUAAGCUGGUCAAGCAGGAAGCGUCUCCAGGCCGGAAUAACAAGUUCAGUCCUAUGCUGGACAGUAAACUACGCAACCUGAAGGCCAGUGAUGUCACUGGGAUGAGGGGGGACGGUCCUGCCGCUUCCCCCCUGGCUUUUCUCAUGGCGGCUAAAGAGCGAGAGAGGCACAGGUCCAGUCUUUCCCUUGAAAACAGCACAAAGAGUAAUGAGCCAUUAUCCAGCAUCCAGCACAGUGAAUUCAAUCCCAAUUCUUUCACCGUCAUCCCUAGGGCCACCUCAUUCACUUCUGUAACCUCACAACAUAAACCACAGUCUGUGGUCCCACUGGAGGCCACAGUGGUAAUCCAGAUUCCAGCAAAACCCCAGAUUAUUGAGUCAGCGGUGAAGGGGCCAAUUGCAAAUCCAGCAGUUAAAAGGAUUCUGCCCACCUCUAGAUCCUCAUCCUCCAGCAGUCUAGCCAUGGAGAAGCAAAGUGGAGAGCAGAGGAUUGAUUCACCCUCUAGCCUUGUCAGGGAUGACGAGAACCUAUGCAUGCCAUUACUCCCUCCCCCUCCCGAAUUCGAUGACCAUGAUGUCGUGGACUCUCCUCCCAGCUCACCUCCACCUGACCCUCCACUGAAGAAGGUCCUCCCUCCCACUCCCAGCCCUGUCCUUCCAGUCCUGUCCUCUACUGCCAACCCUGUCCUUCCUGUCAAAACUCCCUCGCCUCCCCCUCCAAAACCUAAAUCUCCAAGCCCUCCCAAAUUCCCACCUCCUGUCAUGGAGAUCAAACCCAAACUGCCUGUUCAGAUCAAACCCAAGCCGCCUCCUACCCAGGCCCUCUCAGCCAGCCAGGCCACACUCCAGAGCAUCCUGCAGAAGAAGAUGCUAGAGAUGGACUGCAAAAUGGACAACAAAAUGCUGGCCAUGAAGGAAACAGACUCUGAUGACUGGGGGUCUCCCUUGUCUGAUGAGACCAAGUUCCCGGUUGUCCCCAGAGUCAUCCCGAAAAACCCUGUUAUCACUACAAAGAGCAAGAGUGCCACUGUGCCAGCCACAACACAAGGAGUUGACAUGAAGGAGCUGGAGACAAAAAUGGCCAUGAAAGUUCAGGGUUUGUCAGAGCCAUCAAGAGUUCCCACAAGCAAUGGGCCACGGUCAAAGCAGGCGUAUGGCAUGACUUUCAUGGUACAACCCGGAACCAAACAACCAAUCACUGUUGUCAGCAAAUGA